UGAGAUUAAAGAUGUGCGCCACCACCGC
rnacentral:piRNA from 1 species